UACGAAGGGGGCUAGCGUUGUUCGGAAUCACUGGGCGUAAAGGGCGCGUAGGCGGCUUUAUAAGUCGGGGGUGAAAGCCUGUGGCUCAACCACAGAAUUGCCUUCGAUACUGUAGAGCUUGAGACCGGAAGAGGUAAGUGGAACUGCGAGUGUAGAGGUGAAAUUCGUAGAUAUUCGCAAGAACACCAGUGGCGAAGGCGGCUUACUGGUCCGGUUCUGACGCUGAGGC
rnacentral:rRNA from 1 species